GCAUUUAGUGGGCGAAUGUGACUUGUAUCGAUUGGAGGAAACAAUUCAGCAUCGAAGGAAUAACGACUGAAAUAUUGGAGUGUCAAAAUGACAAAACGAAAACCUGCAAAACGAUGGAGAAGAACCGGUAAAGAAGUCGACUCAAAUAAACGAUCAAGAAUGACUGUACAAUUGCCACCAAUGUGAAUGUGGAGACUGAUGAGCAAUGUCUAAAAGGUAGCAGCAGGGGAACAGAAGGAGCCCAAAACACUGCUCUUCAUAUGGAACACAUCCAACCUCCAGGUGUCCAUGCAGGAUGUACCACUCUGGAACACCAAGCCUCUCCCUACCAGCCAGCACAUGAAAAUAUUUCUACUUUUGACUCUAUCAAAGACAAUGGAAAACCAUUUUCCAGAUCAGCCCUCAUAGAUCCUCCUGAUGGCCUAACAACUGAACUACAUGUCGAUGCUGAGUAUGAUCCAUC